rnacentral:rRNA from 1 species
UACAGAGGUCUCAAGCGUUGUUCGGAAUUACUGGGCGUAAAGGGUUCGUAGGUGGCUUGCUUAGUCAGACGUGAAAUCCCUCAGCUUAACUGGGGAACUGCGUCUGAUACUGGCGAGCUUGAGUGCAGGAGAGGAACGCGGAAUUCCAGGUGUAGCGGUGAAAUGCGUAGAUAUCGGGAGGAACGCCAGUGGCGAAGGCGGCUUUCUGGCCCGUUCUUGACGCUGAGGCGCGAAAGCUAGGGUAGCAAACGGG